rnacentral:rRNA from 2 species
UGCCCAACAGCUAGCCCACACAAACAAAAACAACAAGCCCAUAUAAAUAAACCCAAAAAUACUAAAACUAAUAAAUAAACCAUUUUUCCCCCCAAGUAUAGGAGAUAGAAAAG